UACGGAGGGUGCGAGCGUUAAUCGGAAUUACUGGGCGUAAAGGGUGCGUAGGUGGUUUGGUAAGUUAGAUGUGAAAUUCCUGGGCUUAACCUAGGGACUGCGUCUGAUACUGCUGAGCUAGAGUACUGUAGAGGAAAGUGGAAUUUCCGGUGUAGCGGUGAAAUGCGUAGAUAUCGGAAGGAACAUCAGUGGCGAAGGCGACUUUCUGGACAGAUACUGACACUGAGGCACGAAAGCGUGGGGAGCAAACAGG
rnacentral:rRNA from 1 species